AAUUUUAGUAUGAAUCAUGGAAUGAAGCCAAAAAACUGUUCAAUUUACAUAAAGAAACAACAGAAAAGAAUUAUUAGUCUUCACAUCAAAAGACAAACUCCACGCAGAACUCGUCCUGCCAUCGUUUUAACUCAAAGAAACCGAACAGUGCCUACCAUAUCCCUUGUAAAUCGAAGUCCCAACCUACGUCCCGCUCAAAGAAGAACACGCCAGAUUUCAGACAGAACAGUUGAACGCAAUAUGCGGUUGCAGAGGAUCAGAGAGCGACCAAGAUUAGUGCCAGUCAUCAGGAUGCCUACAUUAAACAUAACAAGUUUUAUGAGACUCUUACUUCAGUAUCUUCAGCAGAAUGAACAUAGUUUGUUCUUCCCAGACCAUGAUGACAUCAGAUUCAGAAUUGAGGCAGUGUUAGGGGUUCAGAACAAUUCCAGUUAGUAGGUAGUUUGACUAGAUAUUUUACUUCCUAUGAGCUGGUUUGAUAUGCUGUUUGUGCUAACAUCAUAUUGUGGAUAUAUUUUAUUAAAAUCCUGUAGACGUGACUGCUGGUGGGGAAGCGACAUAUAUUUGAUUUAAUUCCUGACAGCAAAUCACGAAUUUGAUUGGUCGCUACUGCAGCACUCUGAUUGAUUAAUAUUACAUGACUAAAUUUAUAAAUUAUGUCCGAUCAGAAGCCAGGUCUAUUUAUAAAGUUUGUUUGUAAUCAAACUCAAAGAUCUUAUUAAAUCCACGAUAGUGUAUUCAGCCUUACAACAAGGUAUGUAUUGCUAUUAACCGGUUACACAUGCUGCAUGAUAAGCAACUUUUGCUGUUUUGCUAUGAAACUCCGAAAAACUGUUGUAUAUUUUAGUAUUUAUUUCUAAAGGUUAUUAUGAUGUGUAAGAUUUCUAUUGAUUAAAAUAAAGGGAUUAAAAAUGUGACUAUGCUUUUGAUAUGUUGAUACAGUAAAAUUAGUACUAAGUUAAGUUGCAUUGUUUGUUUGUUAAAUAUUUAUUAUACUUCCUUGUACCAUUAGUCAAUAAUGUAAUGUGAUAAAGGUAUCUAUGUUGUGUUAUGAUUUUGAGAUUAAUAUUAUAUUAAUAUUGCUACUUUUUGUCA